rnacentral:rRNA from 1 species
UACGUAGGGUGCAAGCGUUGUCCGGAAUUAUUGGGCGUAAAGAGCUCGUAGGCGGUCUGUCGCGUCUGCUGUGAAAACUCAGGGCUUAACCCUGAGCUUGCAGUGGGUACGGGCAGACUAGAGUGCGGUAGGGGGAGAUCGGAAUUCCUGGUGUAGCGGUGAAAUGCGCAGAUAUCAGGAGGAACACCGGGUGGCGAAGG